UCCCAGAUGGCUCAGAUGGUAAAGUAUCUGCCUGUUGCAGGAGACCAGGUUCAAUCCCUGGGUUGGGAA
rnacentral:tRNA from 1 species